rnacentral:miRNA from 14 species
CAUCUUACUCGACAGCAUUAGA